rnacentral:rRNA from 1 species
AAAAAAGAAAAAGGCUUAAACAGGAUACCUAAGUACUCAAAAUCGAAGAAGGGCGUAGUUACCAGCGAAAUUCUCUGAGGAAUUGGAAACAAAUUUUGAUGCAGAGGUCCCCGAAUAGAGCAAUCUUCAAAACUACCUGACAAAUUCAUAGUCAGAAAAGAGAGGACUCAGCGAAUUGAAACAUCUUAGUAGCUGAAGGAAAAGAAAGCAAAAGCGAUUUCCCUAGUACUGGCGAAGGAAGAGGAAUAAGCCUAAACUAGGUCAAAUUUGAACUAGGGUUGUGGGAAUAUUUGUUUAUAUAUAAAUUAUUUUGAAACAGCUGAAUCCUGUACCACAGAUGGUGAAAGUCCAGUAGAUUUAAUUAAAAUAAUAAGGAUAGAUCCCGAGUAAUAUCAGACACGUGGAAUCUGGUAUGAAUCUACAAGGACCACCUUGUAAGGCUAAAUAUUUUUGAGUGACUGAUAGUGAAAUAGUACCGUGAGGGAAAGGUGAAAUAGAACCCUUGUGAGGGAGUGAAAUAGAACAUGAAAGUUUAAGCUUACAAGUAAUAGGAGGAUUAUAAAACCUGACUAUUUGCCUGUUGAAGAAUGAACCGGCGAGUUAUAGGAUAUGGCAUGGUUAAGAAUAACUUCGAAGCCGUAGUGAAAACAAGUUUGAAUAAAGCGAUUUGUCAUUUUCUAUAGACCCGAAACCAGGUGAUCUAACUAUGGACAGGAGGAAACUUAGGUAAAACUAAUUGGAAGUCCGAACCGACUAAUGUUGAAAAAUUAGCGGAUGAUUUGUAGUUAGAGGUGAAAUGCUAAUCGAACCUGGAGCUAGCUGGUUCUCCCCGAAAUGUGUUGAGGCGCAGCAAUUAAUCAAGGGACUUUUAAGGGUAAAGCACUGUAUUGGUACGGGCUGUGAAAACAGUACCAAAUCAUAGCAAACUAAGAAUAUUAAAAGUCAUUCCAUUAAUAAGUAAGACAGUGGGGGAUAAGCUUCAUUGUCAAGAGGGAAACAGCCCAGACCACUAGCUAAGGUCCCUAAAUAACUGCUAAGUGUUAAAGGAGGUGCAAAUACAGAGACAAUCAGGAGGUUUGCUUAGAAGCAGCAAUCCUUGAAAGAGUGCGUAAUAGCCCACUGGUAUAGUGUUUAUGCGCCAAAAAUGAUCGGGACUAAGCAGUUUACCGAAGCUGUGGGACAUAUUAAUAUUGAAAAUAUGUCGGUAGGGGAGCGUUCUGUUUUAGGGUGAAGUUUUUUUGAAGAAAAAUAUGGACAAAACAGAAGUGAGAAUGUCGGUUUGAGUAACGAAAACAUUGGUGAGAAUCCAAUGCUCCGAAAAUCUAAGGGUUCCUCCACUAGGUUCGUCCAUGGAGGGUUAGUCAGGACCUAAGGUCAGGUCGAAAGACGUUAUCGAUGGAAAACAGGUGAAUAUUCCUGUACUGAUUUUUAUUUGAUAUCGAGUGACGAAGGUUGCUAAAUCAGCUGAAUAAUGGGUUUCAGUGUAACUAUUCAAGGUAGAAGAUAUAGAAAAAAAACUAUUAUCUUGCUGAGAUAGGAUACUAUUACUAGUAUUAAUUUUUAAUACUAUAAAUUGAUGGAUGCUAGACUUCCAGGAAAAGCUCGUAAUAUUGCACAAUAAAAAUUACCUGUACCGUAAACCAACACAGGUAGAUAGGUAGAGUAUACUAAGGGGCGCGAGAUAACUCUCUCUAAGGAACUCGGCAAAAUGGCCCCGUAACUUCGGGAGAAGGGGUGCCUUAUUCAAAUAAGGUUGCAGUGACCAGGCCCAGGCGACUGUUUACCAAAAACAUAAGUCUCCGCAAAGUCGUAAGACAAAGUAUGGGGGCUGACGCCUGCCCAGUGCCGGAAGGUUAAAGAAAUUGGUCAUUUAUAUUUAUAUAAAAAAGCUGAUAACUGAAGCCCCGGUGAACGGCGGCCGUAACUCUGACGGUCCUAAGGUAGCGAAAUUCCUUGUCACGUAAGUUGUGACCCGCACGAAAGGCGUAACGAUCUGGGCGCUGUCUCGGAGAGAGACUCGGUGAAAUAAGAUUGUUUGUGAAGAUACAGACUACUUGCACCUGGACAGAAAGACCCUAUGAAGCUUGACUGUAUCCUGAAAUUGGGCUCGGGUAUUUUUUGCGCAGCCUAGGUGGUAGGCUUUGAAGAUAUUCUUCCGGGAAUAUCUGAGCCGACAGUGAGAGACCACUCUUAAAUUACUGGGGCCCUAAUGAUGUUCCUUAUAUCAGGACGUUUAACAGUUUCUGGUGGGCAGUUUUUUUGGGGCGAAAACCUCCCAAAAAGUAACGGAGGUGUACAAAGGUUCCCUCACACUGGACGGAAAUCAGUUGUAGAGUAUAAAGGCAAAAGGGAGCUUAACUGCAAGACUGACGAGUCGAGCAGAGGCGAAAGCCGGUCUUAGUGAUCCGACGACACUGUGUGGAAGGGUCGUCGCUCAACGGAUAAAAGUUACUCUAGGGAUAACAGGCUGAUCUUCCCCAAGAGUUCAUAUCGACGGGAAGGUUUGGCACCUCGAUGUCGGCUCAUCGCAACCUGGGGCGGUAGCACGUCCCAAGGGUUGGGCUGUUCGCCCAUUAAAGCGGUACGUGAGCUGGGUUCAGAACGUCGUGAGACAGUUUGGUCCAUAUCCGGUGUAAGCGUAAGAACAUUGAGAGGAACUUUCCAUAAUACGAGAGGACUUGGAAGGAUAUACCGCUUGUGUACCAGUUCUUGUACCAACGGGAAACGCUGGGUAGCUAUGUAUAGAGUGGAUAACUGCUGAAAGCAUCUAAGUAGGAAGCCCACCUCAAGAUGAGUGUUCUUUUUUAGAUCGGAGCAAGACUAGCUCAGAAAUAGGAAUUCGGUGUAAAACCAGUAAUGGUAAAGCCAAAAUUUACUAAAGAUCAAUCUUUUGAUAAAAUC